UACAUUUAUUUUGAAACUUGGGGUAACUUAUUUGUACAUCGAUUUAUCCCGAGAAUUAAUUAAAUAAUUCUACACAAUUAAUUUAAUUAUCAACUCAAUGAUUUAUUUAAUUAUCGGUCCAAACUAAAAUUAGUGUUCUAUACCAUACUAAUUAUUCUACAAAAACUAUAGCAACUUGGAUCAUAACAAAAUAUGUUGCUUAACCAUUCAUUCUUAGGCCCAAAGUCCCUUGGAAAUUAAUCUGACCCAACAAUUCUUCUUGUUCCUUGAUAAUUCUUGGCCAAGUAAUUAAUUAAUUCUAGCUACUGUAAAUUCCAGGGGCUAACCCAUAAGCCCAAAAACUUGACCCAAUUCUAAUUAAACUAGUGGUCCAAAAUAGAAGGGUCUCAAUUCUAGGAUUAAAUAAAUGACCUCAUGGUCCAAUUCAACAAUUAAAUGAGGCAGCCCAUUUAUUCCCUUAAUUAAAUUCUAGGCCCAAUUCCCUUUAAUUAAUUAAAGUGGCCCAAUUAAAAGUCAUCCCCUCAAUUAUACUCCCAUUCAUCCAUCGUAUCUCUCUCUCAUUCACCUUCUUUAUUUCAAUUCUUCCCCAAAUCCACCUUCCCAUUUGAAAUCCCUAAACAAAGGCAUAGAGAAGCAGCGGCGCCUCUCUUCCUCACGCCUCUCUCUUCUCCGGCGUCAGCGUCCCCCAAGCUGGAGUGCACCGAGCUGCCGGAACCCACGCCAGAUCCCUCCGUCGAGAUCUCUCUGCAUCGAGCUCUCCGUCAGGUUCCUCACGCGGAGGGGCUGUCGAUUCGAGGGAGGAACGGAGGCGUCGCCUUUCAGCUGUGGUCCGAAACGAGUAGCCGCUGACCGGAGAUGCAUCGUUGUCCGGUUCUCCGCUGCCGGGUACGCCCCUGUCGUCGCCGUCAUCUCCAGAUCUCCCUCUCGUUCAGGCCAGCUGCCGUUGCGGAGGCCGCUGUCACCUCGCGCGGCCCCAGGCCCCGUCGCCUCCCCCUUCGUGCGCGUCGCUGCCGUCCGUCCAACCUAGCCAUCGUUCAUCAUCGAACCAACCCCGAAACGUCCCGAAAUCAACCCGAACAGCCCCGAUUGAACCCCGAAAGGUAUAAUUCGUCCAAGUUCGUGGUCCUCCGCGUUGAAGUACCCGUUUUCUAAAAACGUACGAUGUAUAAAUUAAGUUUUGUUAGACUUUUGUUGGAUGUAUCGAAAAUUAAAAUUUUGAUUAUGGGACUUUAUUUAUUUACUUAAAUUUAUUAUAUUCA